AGUGAACGCUGGCGGCAGGCCUAACACAUGCAAGUCGAGCGGAAGAAGGGAGCUUGCUCCUGGAUUCAGCGGCGGACGGGUGGGUAAUGCCGAGGAAUAUGCCUGGCAGUGGGGGAUAACGUCCGGAAACGGGCGCUAAUACCGUAUACGUCCUGAGGGAGAAAGGGGGGGAGCAUCGGACCUCACGCCAUCAGAUGAGCCAAGGUCGGAUUAGCUAGUUGGUGGGGUAAAGGCCUACCAAGGCGACGAUCCGUAACUGGUCUGAGAGGAUGAUCAGUCACACUGGAACUGAGACACGGUCCAGACUCCUACGGGAGGCAGCAGUGGGGAAUAUUGGACAAUGGGCGCAAGCCUGAUCCAGCCAUGCCGCGUGUGUGAAGAAGGUCUUCGGAUUGUAAAGCACUUUUAGUUGGGAAGAAGGGCAGUAAGUUAAUACCUUGCUGUUUUGACGUUACCAAAAGAAUAAGCACCGGCUAACUUCGUG
rnacentral:rRNA from 1 species